UGGGGAAUUUUGGACAAUGGGCGAAAGCCUGAUCCAGCAAUGCCGCGUGUGUGAAGAAGGCCUUCGGGUUGUAAAGCACUUUUGUCCGGAAAGAAAUCCUUGGCUCUAAUACAGUCGGGGGAUGACGGUACCGGAAGAAUAAGCACCGGCUAACUACGUGCCAGCAGCCGCGGUAAUACGUAGGGUGCAAGCGUUAAUCGGAAUUACUGGGCGUAAAGCGUGCGCAGGCGGUUUGCUAAGACCGAUGUGAAAUCCCCGGGCUCAACCUGGGAACUGCAUUGGUGACUGGCAGGCUAGAGUAUGGCAGAGGGAGGUAGAAUUCCACGUGUAGCAGUGAAAUGCGUAGAGAUGUGGAGGAAUACCGAUGGCGAAGGCAGCCCCCUGGGCCAAUACUGACGCUCAUGCACGAAAGCGUGGGGAGCAAACAGGAUUAGAUACCCUGGUAGUCCACGCCCUAAACGAUGUCAACUAGUUGUUGGGGAUUCAUUCCUUAGUAACGUAGCUAACGCGUGAAGUUGACCGCCUGGGGAGUACGGUCGCAAGAUUAAAACUCAAAUGAAUUGACGGGGUCAUAGCUGUUUCCU
rnacentral:rRNA from 1 species